rnacentral:rRNA from 1 species
CGGGUGAGUAAUGUAUAGGAACCUGCCUAGUAGUGGGGGAUAACGUGUGGAAACGCACGCUAAUACCGCAUACGCUCUACGGAGGAAAGCGGGGGAUCUUCGGACCUCGUGCUACUAGAUGGGCCUAUAUCAGAUUAGCUAGUUGGUAAGGUAAUGGCUUACCAAGGCGACGAUCUGUAGCUGGUUUGAGAGAAUGAUCAGCCACACUGGGACUGAGACACGGCCCAG